rnacentral:lncRNA from 1 species
CUGUGUCACGCUCUCGUUUGUGUUUCUUUGUUGUAUGAAGACUUUGAAACAUGGAAAGGCAAGAAAAGCCUGAGGAAGUUCCUGAGAGGGACCCCGAAGCCAGAGCAUUGGAAGAGUGCGAAAUAGUUGUGCGACUCCUCGCCUUGGUUCUCUGGAGGAACGGUUAUAGGCGAACGGCCUGCGAAUUGUUGGCCAUCCUCGACCAGAACAACUAGUCGGUCGUGUGACCGCAAAUUUUUUUUGUUCGAUGCAAUAAACCGUGUUCUA